rnacentral:rRNA from 1 species
AACACGUAAGAAACCUGCCCCUAAAUCCGGAAUAACAUUGCUAACGCGGUGCUAAUACCGGAUGUGGUCUCCAGUUUGCAUGAACAGGAGAUUAAAGGUGACCUCUACUUGUAAGUUAUCGUUUAGGGAUGGUCUUGCGGACCAUUAGCUUGUUGGCGGGGUAACGGCCCACCAAGGCUGCGAUGGUUAGCCGGCUUAAGAGGGUGAUCGGCCACAUUGGGACUGAGAUACGGCCCAGACUCCUACGGGAGGCAGCAGUAGGGAAUUUUGCGCAAUGGACGAAAGUCUGACGCAGCAACGCCGCGUGAGCGAUGAAGGUUUUCGGAUUGUAAAGCUCUGUUGAGUGGGAAGAAAACUCUCCGGGAUAAUACCCCGGAGACUUGACGGUACCACUCGAGGAAGCCCCGGCUAAAUACGUGCCAGCAGCCGCGGUAAUACGUAUGGGGCAAGCGUUGUUCGGAAUCACUGGGCGUAAAGGGAGUGUAGGCGGAAAGGUAAGUUAGAAGUGUAAUCCACGGGCUUAACCCGUGACUCGCUUUUAAUACUGCUUUUCUUGAGUAUGGGAGAGGGAGAUGGAAUUCCAGGUGUAGCGGUGGAAUGCGUAGAUAUCUGGAAGAACACCAGUAGCGAAGGCGGUCUCCUGGCCCAAUACUGACGCUGAGGCUCGAAAGCGUGGGGAGCGAACAGGAUUAGAUACCCUGGUAGUCCGCGCCGUAAACGAUGGACACUAGAUGUUGGCCUCUUCGGGGGUCGGUGUCGUAGCUAACGCGUUAAGUGUCCCGCCUGGGAAGUACGCUCGCAAGAGUGAAACUCAAAGGAAUUGACGGGGGCCCGCACAAGCGGUGGAGCAUGUGCUUUAAUUCGAUGCAACGCGAAGAACCUUACCUGGACUUGACAUGGGGGUGAAAGUUUUCAGAGAUGAAAACCCUUCCUUCGGGAACGCCCUACACAGGUGCUGCAUGGUUGUCGUCAGCUCGUGUCGUGAGAUGUUGGGUUAAGUCCCGCAACGAGCGCAACCCUUGUCGUUAGUUGUCAGCGGGUCAUGCCGGGAAAUCUAGGGAGACUGCCUGGUACAUCCAGGAGGAAGGGGGGCAUGACAUCCAAUCAUCAUGUCCCUUACGUCCAGGGCUAGACUCCUUUUACAAUGG